rnacentral:rRNA from 1 species
GAUGAACGCUGGCGGCGUGCCUAAUACAUGCAAGUCGAGCGAACAGACGAGGAGCUUGCUCCUCUGACGUUAGCGGCGGACGGGUGAGUAACACGUGGAAACCUACCUAUAAGACUGGGAUAACUUCGGGAAACCGGAGCUAAUACCGGAUAAUAUAUUGAACCGCAUGGUUCAAUAGUGAAAGACGGUUUUGCUGUCACUUAUAGAUGGAUCCGCGCCGCAUUAGCUAGUUGGUAAGGUAACGGCUUACCAAGGCAACGAUGCGUAGCCGACCUGAGAGGGUGAUCGGCCACACUGGAACUGAGACACGGUCCAGACUCCUACGGGAGGCAGCAGUAGGGAAUCUUCCGCAAUGGGCGAAAGCCUGACGGAGCAACGCCGCGUGAGUGAUGAAGGUCUUCAGAUCGUAAAACUCUGUUAUUAGGGAAGAACAAAUGUGUAAGUAACUAUGCACGUCUUGACGGUACCUAAUCAGAAAGCCACGGCUAACUACGUG